UACACGGUUGUCGGUGCCUGGGUAGGUGU
rnacentral:sRNA from 1 species